CCCUCAGAAGGUACUUGAGGACCCCAAGGGGGAACUUGAGGACCCCAGGAGGAGCCCAGGGCCCCCCAAAUAGAGCUUGGAGACCCCAAGAGUUGCUCAGGGACCCCAAGGAGGAACUCGAGUCCCCCAGGAGGAGCUCAGGGACCCCCAGAAGGAGAUCAGGGACCCCCAAAUAGAGCUUGGAGACCCCAAGAGUUGCUCAGGGACCCCAAGGAGGAACUUGAGGACCCCAUAAGGAGCCCAGGGCCCCCCAAAUAGAGCUUGGAGACCCCAGGAGUUGCUCAGGGACCCCAAGGAGGAACUUGAGGACCCCCGAAGGAGCCCAGGGCCC
rnacentral:lncRNA from 1 species